rnacentral:rRNA from 1 species
ACUCCUACGGGAGGCAGCAGUGGGGAAUAUUGCACAAUGGGCGCAAGCCUGAUGCAGCCAUGCCGCGUGUAUGAAGAAGGCCUUCGGGUUGUAAAGUACUUUCAGCAGUGAGGAAGGCGGGUACGUUAAUAGCGUGCUCGUUUGACGUUAGCUGCAGAAGAAGCACCGGCUAACUCCGUGCCAGCAGCCGCGGUAAUACGGAGGGUGCGAGCGUUAAUCGGAAUUACUGGGCGUAAAGCGUGCGUAGGCGGCUUUUUAAGUCGGAUGUGAAAUCCCCGAGCUUAACUUGGGAAUUGCAUUCGAUACUGGGGAGCUAGAGUAUGGGAGAGGAUGGUAGAAUUCCAGGUGUAGCGGUGAAAUGCGUAGAGAUCUGGAGGAAUACCGAUGGCGAAGGCAGCCAUCUGGCCUAAUACUGACGCUGAGGUACGAAAGCAUGGGGAGCAAACAGGAUUAGAUACCCUGGUAGCUA